UACGUAGGGGGCAAGCGUUGUCCGGAUUUACUGGGCGUAAAGAGCGUGUAGGCGGCCAUGUAGGUCCGGUGUGAAAACUCGAGGCUUAACCUCGAGAUGUCAUCGGAAACCAUUUGGCUAGAGUCCGGAAGAGGAGAGUGGAAUUCCUGGUGUAGCGGUGAAAUGCGCAGAUAUCAGGAAGAACACCAAUGGCGAAAGCAGCUCUCUGGGACGGUACUGACGCUGAGACGCGAAAGCGUGGGGAGCGAACAGG
rnacentral:rRNA from 1 species